CAGAUCUAUUGCUUUCUUAUUAUAAAAUGUUGCAUCGUUGCUUGCACAGUUUGCAGCCAGUUUCGUGCCGGUUUCGGGUUGGUCCAGACGUACUUUACGCGACUCAUAUUGUAUGUCCGGUCAUCUACUUUUUAAAUUCGCAUUAUAUUCGAUCAUCAAUCGACUAUAGUAAUGUUAUUUACUGUUUGCCCGUAUAUUGUCCGUAAAUGCCGGUUAAGUGUAUCGCCCCCAUGUUGAUUUGAUAUUCAUCAUUAGGAUGACCCAUCGUGCUGGCGUAGGUAUCUUUUAACAAAACAGCACAGAUUGUUUGUCUUUCUCCGCUGUGUGACUAUAGUAUUACUAAGUUUUAUGAAAUAUCUUUGUUUAAACUUAGGUUUUCUUUUUUUAUUUACAGUAUUUGCCGUGCCUUGAAGUCUAUAAGUUCUGCAUUGUAAAAUGUGGAUUUAUCAGUCAAAUUAGAAGAAGCUCUGAAAAUGGUCACAUUAAUCCACGAUGUAAUGCAAGUAGUGUGCAAUAUUGUCGCGUUCCAUCGACUGCCUAUUCGGUUCCGUUUAACGUGCAUUUAACAAGGUACUAGAACUUA